UAUAUUUUGGUGUAUGGUGCACGGGAAUUUUUGAUGUUUUUGGUGUCAGUUUAAUUCUGACAGAUAUAU
rnacentral:tRNA from 1 species